UGGGGAAUAUUGGGCAAUGGGGCGAAAGCCUGACCCAGCAACGCCGCGUGAAGGAAGAAGGCUUUCGGGUUGUAAACUUCUUUUACCAGGGACGAAGGACGUGACGGUACCUGGAGAAAAAGCCACGGCUAACUACGUGCCAGCAGCCGCGGUAAUACGUAGGUGGCAAGCGUUGUCCGGAUUUACUGGGUGUAAAGGGCGUGUAGGCGGAGCAGCAAGUCAGAUGUGAAAUCUAUGGGCUUAACCCAUAAACUGCAUUUGAAACUGUAUCUCUUGAGUGUCGGAGAGGUAGACGGAAUUCCUAGUGUAGCGGUGAAAUGCGUAGAUAUUAGGAGGAACACCAGUGGCGAAGGCGGUCUAACUGGACGAUAACUGACGCUGAGGCGCGAAAGCGUGGG
rnacentral:rRNA from 1 species